CUUUGCAGCAUAAGUUCACCAUAUUUCACUGCUUAGUGAAUAGACUCCUGUCUGUACAAAUGACUUGUCUGUCGGGGAGGAGCUGUUAGACUGCACCUCUUUUACUGCUUUCAUUCUUCAUGACUUUUGACCCUUUGGAAUGUUAGUUGUGUCACAAGGAUUAAAGGCUGCAAGGGGAGCUCUCUCCCAGAAACGUGUAAAUUACAUAACAGCAGUUAAAGCCACUGGAUUACAUGGGGAAGAAGCUUCUGAGACGGACAACUGGAAAAGGUA